AAGUCGAACGGAAUCUUAGGAUUUAGUGGCGGACGGGUGAGUAACGCGUGAGAAUCUGGCUUCAGGUCGGGGACAACAGUUGGAAACGACUGCUAAUACCGGAUGUGCCGAGAGGUGAAAGAUUUAUUGCCUGAAGAUGAGCUCGCGUCUGAUUAGCUAGUUGGUAAGGUAAGAGCUUACCAAGGCGACGAUCAGUAGCUGGUUUGAGAGGAUGAUCAGCCACACUGGGACUGAGACACGGCCCAGACUCCUACGGGAGGCAGCAGUGGGGAAUUUUCCGCAAUGGGCGAAAGCCUGACGGAGCAAUACCGCGUGAGGGAGGAAGGCUCUUGGGUCGUAAACCUCUUUUCUCAAGGAAGAAUAAUGACGGUACUUGAGGAAUAAGCAUCGGCUAACUCCGUGCCAGCAGCCGCGGUAAUACGGAGGAUGCAAGCGUUAUCCGGAAUGAUUGGGCGUAAAGGGUCCGCAGGUGGAACUGAAAGUCUGCUGUUAAAGAAUUUGGCUCAACCAGAUAAAAGCAGUGGAAACUACAGAACUAGAGUAUGGUAGGGGUAGAAGGAAUUCCUAGUGUAGCGGUGAAAUGCGUAGAGAUUAGGAAGAACACCAGUGGCGAAAGCGUUCUACUAGACCAAGACUGACACUGAGGGACGAAAGCUAGGGGAGCGAAUGGGAUUAGAUACCCCAGUAGUCCUAGCCGUAAACGAUGGAUACUAGGCGUGGCUUGUAUCGACCCGAGCCGUGCCGGAGCCAACGCGUUAAGUAUCCCGCCUGGGGAGUACGCACGCAAGUGUGAAACUCAAAGGAAUUGACGGGGGCCCGCACAAGCG
rnacentral:rRNA from 1 species